rnacentral:rRNA from 1 species
CCAGACUCCUACGGGAGGCAGCAGUGGGGGAUAUUGCACAAUGGGGGGAACCCUGAUGCAGCGACGCCGCGUGGGUGAAGAAGCGCCUCGGCGCGUAAAGCCCUGUCAGCAGGGAAGAAAAUGACGGUACCUGAAGAAGAAGCCCCGGCUAACUACGUGCCAGCAGCCGCGGUAAUACGUAGGGAGCGAGCGUUGUCCGGAUUUACUGGGUGUAAAGGGUGCGUAGGCGGCCCUGAAAGUCAGAAGUGAAACCCAUGGGUUAACCCGUGGACCUGUUUUGAAACUGCAGGACUUGAGUGGAGUAGAGGUAGGCGGAAUUCCCGGUGUAGCGGUGAAAUGCGUAGAGAUCGGGAGGAACACCAGUGGCGAAGGCGGCCUACUGGGCUUUAACUGACGCUGAAGCACGAAAGCGUGGGGAUCGAACAGGAUUAGAUACCCCGGUAU